UUCUUGGUCAUUUAGAGGAAGUAAAAGUCGUAACAAGGUUUCCGUAGGUGAACCUGCGGAAGGAUCAUUAAAGAAAUCGCAAUGGCUCGUGAAGCAAAUUGUGCUGGUCGUCAUUCGACAUGUGUGCACACUUGUGGAUCGAGUGCAUUUCUUCUUACACACACCUGUGCACGAUCUGUAGCUUUAGGGAUGAUCACGACAAUGUCGAAUGCCCUAAAUGCUAUGUUCUUAUACACAUACACUACUAUGUUUAGAUGGUUAAAUGCGUGUUAUAUCGCAGAUGUAAUACAACUUUCAGCAACGGAUCUCUUGGCUCUCGCAUCGAUGAAGAACGCAGCGAAAUGCGAUAAGUAAUGUGAAUUGCAGAAUUCAGUGAAUCAUCGAAUCUUUGAACGCACCUUGCGCUCCUUGGUAUUCCGAGGAGCAUGCCUGUUUGAGUGUCAUGAAAUUAUCAACUGCUUUGACAUUUUGUUGUUGAAGUGAAGUUGGACUUUGGAGGUCAUUGCUGGGUUCAUCAGCUCCUCUUAAAAGCAUUCAAAAGCUCUCUAUAAGUAAUCUUUGACGUGAUAACUAUCUACGUCGUAGAAUUAUAGAGUCUUUUGUUAUUUAUAUGUUGACCAAUUUGACCUCAAAUCAGGUAGGACUACCCGCUGAACUUAAGCAUAUCAAUAAGCGGAGGAA
rnacentral:rRNA from 1 species